rnacentral:lncRNA from 1 species
AUGCGAGGAAAAGCCAGCACGAAGUGGAGGAGGAAGGGAAAUGAGCCCCAGCUGGGGACACCCGGGGGUGGGCAGCAGGCAGCUCAUGCCCUGCACCCUCCCUUUGAUACCCAGCUGCUUGGGCCAGGGAGAGGCUUUGCAGGGAGAGGAGCUGGUGAAGCUGUGCAGAGGCCCCUGGGGCUGGCAGGAUGUUCACUGUGCAGACCUCUGAGCCGGGCUUUGGCACCCGUCCCCUCUGAUGAGCCCUGGGAGCACUGCAGCAGCGAUGGGAACAUGGUUUGCUGCGUCCCACUCGCGCCAGCUCUUAUCUCCCUGUUUAUUGCUGUGAAGUAUUGAAGUCAGAAAGGCUGACUCAGCAACGGAGGCUGGAGGGGUGGCUAUGAUAAACCCUCCAGGGCCAGGGACUGCGCGUGGGCUCUCCUUCCUGGCUCUCAGCAGACACAGACACCUCACCAGGGAGAAAUUACCAUCCAUCCCGAGCCCUGAAUCAUGCUCAAGGAGAGAACCCUAGGGGAAAAGAGCCACGAGAUGGGAAAACUCAGCAGACCGUGGGCAGAGCGAAGGACCCGACCAGCUUUAAGUCCUGGUGCGGUGCCACGGCUGGAUGGUGCCUGGGUGGGGGUUGUAACAGGGCUGUUGCAUCCUGGCUGCUGCUGCAAAAAAAAAAUAGUCUUUGCUGCCAUCUACCUCUCCUGGGCUUCC